CCUACGGGUGGCAGCAGUCGAGAAUCAUUCACAAUGGGGGAAACCCUGAUGGUGCGACGCCGCGUGGGGGAAUGAAGGUCUUCGGAUUGUAAACCCCUGUCAUGUGGGAGCAAAUUAAAAAGAUAGUACCCCACUAGGAAGAUACGGCUAACUCUGUGCCAGCAGCCGCGGUAAUACAGAGGUCUCAAGCGUUGUUCGGAAUCACUGGGCGUAAAGCGUGCGUAGGCUGUUUCGUAAGUCGUGUGUGAAAGGCCCGGGCUCAACCCCCGGACGGCACAUGAUACUGCGAGACUAGGGUAAUGGAGGGGGAACCGGAAUGCUCGGUGUAGCAGUGAAAUGCGUAGAUAUCGCGAGGAACACUCGUGGCGAAGGCGGGUUCCUGGACAUUAACUGACGCUGAGGCACGAAGGCCAGGGGAGCGAAAGGGAUUAGAUACCCGAGUAGUC
rnacentral:rRNA from 1 species